CAAAAUCAAAGCACACUUCUAGUUUUUUUUUAAUAAAGUUUGCUUGUGAUGAUGACCUUCUGUGCUCUGGAACUUCUGUUUUACAAAAAAUUGGAGCUGGAAAGAAAAAGAACCUUUUGAUUGGUACAAUUUAAAAAAAAUUCAAGUAAAAAUUAGCAAACAUGCAUCUAGUAUAUUAUAGGAUAUCUGGCCAUGGGACUUUGAAAAAGAAAAGAAAAAACCAAAAACACCAAACCAUAUUUUCUUGAAGAUAAAUUCUUCUAGAGAGCUCUCAAAAAAUAUGGGCUUGGUCCUGAUUUUGCAAACAACAGCAGGGUUCUCAAGUGGAGCAGGGUGAUAAUUUUUACAAGGUAAAUGUAAAUUAUCUUUCAUAUAGGGGAAAAAAUGGGAAAUCUAAUUUUAGUAACACUGGGUUAAGAUGAAAGGAAAAAAGGUAUUAAUAAAAGAUCCAUUAGCUUUAAAAUCCAAAGCAUGUUGAAAAGCAGUAAUAAAUUUAUAGUUUAUCUUUCUAAAUUCAAUGCUUGAAUAAAAUACAGCUUUUAUACUAUUUAUUCUUUCAAAAAUAAUUGCAUGCCUACUAUGUACCAGACAACUGCUCUAGGCUCUGGGGAUGGCUAUAUCAAUGAACAAGAUAAAGAUCCAUGCCCUUGGAGAGCUUGCAUUGAAAGAUCAUACAUGAGAAUUCCUUCCUCUUUUCCAAAAAAACAAACAAACAAACAAAAAUACCUGUAAAAUAUAUAAGCCAAUAAAAUCUGCCAAAGUCCUGUGGUUUACUUCUCCAUAUUUAAAAAUUGAAAGCCACCAAUGGGCCAAGGUUAUGUUUUCCUAUUUUAAAGUUGAGUUGCAAUAUUCUGAAAAUGGGUCUGAAAUAGAUGCAGUGAGAGCAUUAAACCAGAUGUGUUGCUCUGUGGGGAACAUGGGAGCAUGCAACGCUGCUAGCACAGAGGUAGCUAGAGUAAACUGAGGCAGAGUCCCCCAAAUGAGCAUUCUGAAUAGAACAAGGCAUGAUGAAUUUCCUCAAGAGCCAAAUAGUUAAACCGACAGGGAUACUUAAGUGGGAGAAAUAAAACAAGGGACACAAAGUACAGAAGGAAAUUAUCAAAAAGGAAAAAUAAACUUAUUUUCUAAAACUUGGGUAACUGAUUUUAACACAUACCCCAAACCUACACGCCUUGCGAUUAUCAUCCACAUGCUACUCAUGGCUGCCCCCUUGCACUGUGGCCCUCUCUACCUUUCUCUGCGUCUUUACGUCCACCAUUGGUUUCACAAGCUCUGACAUCAAUGCACAGGAGUUCGAAUCGACAGCCUGGUUCCCUUAUUAAAAUAAAAAUUCUCACAAAAUCAGUAUCAGUAGAAUUUGUUCUAAAAAACUGAACCUAAGAAUUAAUUCAAUAAAAUACUAUCUUAUGUCUAUAAUUCCCCAACAAAGGGCACAGCUUUAUUUAGACAUGAAAUUCAAAAUAACUCAUGGUAGGUCAGCAGCCAUUAGCUGUGUACUAGGGCCACGGCUGGGCUAUUCAAUAAGAGCAGCCAUUUUCCCCCAGCUAACUGAUCCUUUUCACACUGUGAUGUAUUUUUAUUUUGUUCAUUCAUUCAUUUUGGCAAAUACUGAACACAUAACAUGUGCCAGGUGCUGUUCUG
rnacentral:lncRNA from 10 species